rnacentral:rRNA from 1 species
CCCGGCACAAGCGGCGGAGCAUGUGGAGUUUAAUUCGAUGCAACGCGAAGAACCUUACCUGGGUUGACAUACACCGGAAAACCGUAGAGAUACGGUCCCCUUGUGGUCGGUGUACAGGUGGUGCAUGGCUGUCGUCAGCUCGUGUCGUGAGAUGUUGGGUUAAGUCCCGCAACGAGCGCAACCCUUGUCUUAUGUUGCCAGCACGUGAUGGUGGGGACUCGUAAGAGACUGCCGGGGUCAACUCGGAGGAAGGUGGGACGACGUCAAGUCAUCAUGCCCCUUAUGUCCAGGGCUUCACACAUGCUACAAUGGCCAGUACAGAGGGCUGCGAGACCGUGAGGUGGAGCGAAUCCCUUAAAGCUGGUCUCAGUUCGGAUCGGGGUCUGCAACUCGACCCCGUGAAGUCGGAGUCGCUAGUAAUCGCAGAUCAGCAACGCUGCGGUGAAUACGUUCCCGGGCCUU